UUAAAUGAAUCUAAAUUUAUGGGAUUAGGCAGGUUCUUUCCAUCCACCUUGGUUAAAAUCAAUGUUUUUUCAGAGAAUGCCUUCUUUACCAUAUAAGGUCCUUCCUAAUUCGGCAUCCACUUUCCUCUAAAGUCCUUUUGUAUAUGAAGGAUCAUUUUCAAAACUAAGUCAUUCUAAUGGAAUUCUCUAGGGCAAGCCUUCUUACCAUAAACUUGCAUCAUUCAUUUUUGAUACAUUUGACCAUGAUGGAUACUUUCAAACCCUUUUCUUCAAUCAGGUUCACUUGAUCAUAUUAAAA
rnacentral:lncRNA from 1 species